UACGGGGGGAGCAAGCGUUGUCCGGAAUCACUGGGCGUAAAGGGCGCGUAGGUGGCUUUGUAAGUUUGCGGUGAAAGCCCGGGGCUCAACCCCGGGUCUGCCGUGGAUACUGCAAGGCUUGAGUACUGUAGAGGCAGGUAGAAUAUCGGGUGUAGCGGUGGAAUGCGUAGAGAUCCGAUAGAAGACCGGUGGCGAAGGCGGCCUGCUGGGCAGUAACUGACACUGAGGCGCGACAGCGUGGGGAGCAAACAGG
rnacentral:rRNA from 1 species